AGAAGCAGCCAAAAAGAAGGAGGAAGAGAGGAGAGCUAAAGACGAAGCGGCCAUGACAGGCAAACGGAUGCAGUCACUGUCCCUCAACAAGUAAAGGCAGCCCCCCCCCCUCCCCCAAGAGGAGGGACACCCCCGGGAUGGUGCUGGGCCUGGCACCCUUCGGACUCGCUGCGGCGUCCUUUCCCAGAGAGGCU